rnacentral:misc_RNA from 1 species
GAAAUGCGAUAACUAAUGUGAAUUGCAGAAUUCAGUGAAUCAUCGAGUCUUUGAACGCACAUUGCGCCCCCUGGUAUUCCGGGGGGCAUGCCUGUCCGAGCGUCAUUGCUGCCCUCAAGCACGGCUUGUGUGUUGGGCCUCCGUCCUCCCCCCGGGGGGACGGGCCCGAAAGGCAGCGGCGGCACCGUGUCCGGUCCUCGAGCGUAUGGGGCUUUGUCACCCGCUCUGUAGGCCCGGCCGGCGCUGGCCGACCCUCCAACCCCAUUUUUUUCAGGUUGACCUCGGAUCAGGUAGGGAUACCCGCUGAACUUAA